GGGAGCUCUCUCUCAGUUUUAGGUCUCUGCUUCUCCCUCCUUCCCAAAACUUUUUCACUUUCUCUUCCCGCUGCUCUUUCCCUCCUUCUUGUGCCCUCUCUGUCGCUUUCCUGUUCCUAAAACUGCUAAAUAAUCACAUCUCAAGUAUCAAAAUGUUAUUUUAGGGAUUGAGGGUUCUGAGGGAUAUUGUUGCUUGCCUUAGUGAGAUGAUCUGAUGGUUCAGAGGUAAAGGGCUAGCAUUUUGCAUCAUAUUGGUUCCCAUUUUGAAGAUUUUCUCGAUCAUUGUCAUUUCAAUGUGUGAAGAUUUUGGAUGAGAGUGACUCUGGUGAGACGGGAAGAGAAGUUGCCAUCUUAUUGGAUAUUAUUGGGUUUCAUUUGACCAUGGAAUGCAACAAAGAGGAGGCCAUCAGAGCAAAAGAAAUUGCAGAAAAGAAAAUGCAAAGUGGGGACUUUGAAGGGGCACUCCGGAUUGCACUGAAGGCAAAGAAACUCUAUCCUGACCUUGAUAAUA
rnacentral:misc_RNA from 1 species